GUAGUCUGCAACCCGACUACAUGAAGCCGGAAUCGCUAGUAAUCGCGGAUCAGAAUGCCGCGGUGAAUACGUUCCCGGGUCUUGUACACACCGCCCGUCACACCAUGGGAGUCGGAAAUGCCCGAAGCCGGUGACCCAACCCGAAAGGGAGGGAGCCGUCGAAGGCAGGUCGGAUGACUGGGGUGAAGUCGUAACAAGGUACC
rnacentral:rRNA from 1 species